UCCUGUUAACUCUUAAUAAACUUACACAUGCAAGCAUCUACACCCCAGUGAGAAUGCCCUCUAGGUUAUUAAAACUAAGAGGAGCUGGCAUCAAGCACACACCCUGUAGCUCACGACGCCUUGCUUAACCACACCCCCACGGGAAACAGCAGUUGACAAAAAUUAAGCCAUAAACGAAAGUUUGACUAAGUUAUAUUAAUUAGGGUUGGUAAAUCUCGUGCCAGCCACCGCGGUCAUACGAUUAACCCAAGCUAACAGGAGUACGGCGUAAAACGUGUUAAAGCACCAUACCAAAUAGGGUUAAAUUCUAACUAAGCUGUAACAAGCCAUGAUUAAAAUAAAAAUAAAUGACGAAAGUGACCCUACAAUAGCCGACGCACUAUAGCUAGACCCAAACUGGGAUUAGAUACCCCACUAUGCUUAGCCCUAAACACAGAUAUUACAUAAACAAAAUUAUUCGCCAGA
rnacentral:rRNA from 1 species